GGAAGGCUGAAAUAGGUGAAGGUGAAAGUGAUGAUCAACAGAGAACAGAGAAGCGUACCCAUUAAAUAAAAAUGAAUUAGGAAAAAAAAGGUGAAAAAUCAUGAUGUCACCUACAUCUCCACAAACUGAAUAGUCCUCCGGUACUACAGUAUAAAAUGUUAUAUAUAUACAUAUUCAUCUAUUGAAGAAGGAAUGUGGAAAUCUUCUGGAUGACUAGUAAUGUAUAUAGAAGCCAACAUUAAGAAGGUAAAGAAGAAAGGCCUUUUCCUGCUAGCUUGAAAAUCUGGGCAAAGCAAAGAGUACUACUGGAUCUUAUAGGAAACUGGAUUCUUUACCAUCAAAUCCUAAAGUUGUAGGAGACAAGCACUCUGUUUUAUGAGGAGACUGAGGCACAGACAAAAAGGUAUCAAAAUCUAUUUAAGUAGUCCAUUACAAGGGUUUCACCCCUACAAGAGAACAUUGAGAUUACCAUUUCAUUGACUGAAGUUAAAAGAGAAGUAUCCACAGUCUGACAUCAAAACAUGAGCACAAAGCUGAUCCUUUUCAGAGUUAUGCUACCUCCAUGAAUAUUAUGGGAAAGGUAGCUUCAGCUCUCUACUGCUUAAGGGGAGUUAAGUGCCUGAGCAGAUGAAAGAAUGGAAUAACUUAGCCCAGGUUUUCAGUAAGCAUUAUAUCAGAAGAGAUAAUCUCCAAAGAUCUUUCUCAUCAAAUUCUGUAUGAAAUACUUGGAGACUGUUGCAUUUGUUCAACAGCAUUCACAAGAGCUGACUGGAAAUGCUGUGCUUUCCUUAAGAUUUAGGUAUCCAGAUGGUGGACAGCCAAUUUAAGAAAGGGAAAGACGCUGCACAGUCAAUGAAGAGUGAGGAAGAAAAACACAUGGAAGAGACAACAGUGGAGUGAGUGGAUAUUGCCUAGAGGAAGCUGCAGCCCGUGGAGGUCCCAUGCUGGAACAGAGGAAAACGUAAAGAAUGAGCAGCAGAGACAGUGCCAUGCACUGACCACAGAUCUUAUUCUUCAACCACCCUGCACUGCUCAGAUAAGGAGGAGAUAGAGAAGUCCAGAAUGAAGGAAUUAAGUUAAUCCUGGAAAAGGGAGAUGUAGGCAGACAGGCAAAAAAAGUUGCUCCUGUUUCUCACUAUUGACAUCUGUUUUAUUGCCAAUAAAUUUAUUUUCCCCAAGUUGAGUCUGUUUUGUCUGUGACAGUAAUUUGACUGAGACAGAGUUGGAUGCAGUAAUGGCUUCAAGCUGUGCCAGGGAAGGUUCAGGCUGGAUGUUAGGAAAUACUACUUCUCUGAAAGGGUGGUCAGGCACUGGAAUGGGCUGCCCAGGGAGGUGGUGGAGUCACCAACCCUGGAGGUGUUCAAAGAACGUUUGGAUGUUGUGUUGAAGGACGUGGUUUAGCGAGAACCAUUGGUGAUGGGUGAAUGGUUGGACUGGAUGAUCCUGUGGGUCUUUUCCAACCUUAGCGAUUCUAUGAUUCUAUGAUUCUACUCCAGAUGGAGUCUCAUGAGGGCAGAGCAGAGGAGAAUCAUUUCCCUACAUAUGCUAGUUGCACUGUUUUUGAUGCAGCCCAAAUUGGCUUACUAUGUUGCGAGAGCAUAUUGUUGGCUUGUACCAAGUUUCUCAUUCCCAAUUCCUCCUCAGUUCAUUCUCCUGCCUGUUAUCUAUGUUUGGGGUUGCCCUGACCCAGCUGGAGAGCUGUUCAUGUCAGGCUGUGGUGACCAUACCAUUGCCUGGGCCAAGACCAGCAGUCUCUUGUGGGGUGCAGAAGCAAACUUUGUCGAGCCAGCAACCUACACUAUGGGAGUGGAACGGGCACAUUUUUUCCCAGGGUGCUUGUGGGGCCACAUGGUGCACCUGUCCAUGCUGAAUGCUGAUGCUGAAUCUAAACACAGAAAGUAGCAAGGGUGCAUGGUCAGCUGGAACACCCAUAUCUCCACAGGCAGUUUUAUGCUUGGGGUUUUGCGUGUUGGGCAGAGGGGUAACUCACUUGGCUAGAGAUUGCAAGUAAGUGGGUGUGUGUGUAUGACUGUAGCCUUCUGGGAUUGGUUAUGUAAGUCAAAGGUGUUUAACAAACUAUAGAUAUUUACUGGCAUUUUGUAUAUGUGAAGUACUGGUUAUUAAUAUUGGUCUGAAUUUACAGUUCACUGCCAGUUAAUUACAUGUCACCAAUAUAUAAAUGAAUCAAUCUUGAUUAGAUUUAAACUCAGUGAACUGAGCAGUAUUUCACAGCAAGAGCUUACUAGUAUUCUUUUUUAAUAAAGCGUAUGUCUUGAUCUGUAAAAUGUUAUAGCUGGCAAACUGAAAAAAUAUAAACUGCACUUAAUUGUAAAGUAUUUUCCCAAAGUUUCUUUGCACAUCUUUUAUUUUUAGUAAAUGUGUCUACUAAGUUGGUAUUUGUCUGCCUAAAAAAUAAGUGUUUACUGACAGACUUCGAUGUUAUAUUAGUUGACUUAGUUCUGUUAUAGUCAGUGGAAUCUAAUCAAUACAGUCAACAGUUACUACAUUUCUAAAAAGAAAAUCAUCUGACUAGCUGCUGGAUAUCUGAUUAUAUAGCAUACUAACAUUAUUUGAAAUUUGAGAUCUGUGGUCUCUCGACUGUCUUUAAGCUGUGAUUCCAUAAAGACUUGUUCUUAGGCUCUAUGCUUAUGCCUUGAUUAUGCUAGUGCAUUUUGAGAAUAUGUUUGUCUUCCACAAACUGAGUGAAGCUAUAGUUAUUUAUUUUAAAGGGAGAUAAUUUUUUUGUUAGCUAAGCAUCUACUGAUAUUAUUGGACUUCUGGAUAUUCAGAGCAUAUGUAGAUACUUAAAUACAGACACCUAAAAUUCCUUAAUUGAAAUUGUGACUAAAUCCCACCUUUUAUAGCAAGCACUUUCCAAUCUUAACCAAUGACCAUUUUGGAAUCUGUGAAAAUUUCAAAUUUGCAAUGUCUUCUAGGGGCUCUUGACUAACUUGAUACUCAAACAAAAAAUAAUCUUUGUUACUCUGCUGUAGUAUGAGGAUGCCUGUUAUUAACCAGUUGCAAUUCUCGCCAAUUUUGCAUUUCUGCUUGCAGAUUGGAGUACUUUAACCGAAGGGAAGGAGAUAAGUUGUAUUCUAGCCUUGCCUUCCAUUAGAGAACACUGAUAACUGUCAGUCCAUAUCUCUUCAAACUAAGAGGAUUUUUCAUCCCAAGUUCUGUAAUCAAAAGUCUACUUUACAAUAUGGAGCAGAUAUUUCCCCAUGGAGAAUAGCAUUUACAGGGAUAGCAUUUACGUAGCUAACAUUAGAGACUCCUUCUGUUCCUAUUCAUUCCAUUUGUAUUUGCAUGUUCUCACUUUUGAUUCGGCAUCCUGUGCAUCUCACUCCAAUUAUUUCUUCAGGUUUCUAGUUCUGCACUGCAAAAUGCACUUCCAGAACUCAAUGUUUAUUUUUAAGAUAAGGUAGUGUUAUAGUACCAACAUUUCUUUGACAGUUUGGCUCUUCGCUUUUUUGGGCUAGAUUCUGCUUGGUGUAGAUGUUUCAGCAAAUAAAGCUACUUGAUAAUAAGACCUUUUUCUUUAUAUCUGGAAUGGAGAAAUCAAUUUCUAAUUCCAAAGAUAACUUAGGAGAAUGUUGCAGUGCUCUGAAAAUUAGAACAUUGCUGGAACGAAACCAUGUAAAUGUUCUUCUGAAAAUGUAAGCUAUGAUUUUUUUAUGGAUGAAUGUGGAUGCUUUCUUUUUGUGGAAUGUGUGAAUGUGGAUACUUUUUAUAAUCCAUUUCAGGUUGCUAUAUUUCAUUUUAUUUAUUUAUUUAUUUAUUUAUUUAUUUAUUUAUUGUAGUGGUGGUUUUUAGUGUUCUAUUUAUUAGUGUUUUUAUUUUGCUUUUUAUUUUCCUGAGUGUAAAAAAUGUUUCAGAGCAUAACUGAAUUUUCAUAAGCCAAAACAGAAGGGUUUCUAGAUAAAUAUGAAUUUUUUUGUUUUGUUUUGUUUUUCUUAAACUCUGUUAAAUGCAUCACUGGAAUUUGUCUUCUUGUUUGUUUGUUUGUUUGUUUUUAAUUGUAGGGAAGGUAAAUCACUGUCAUUUGUUAACCAUAAGUCAAACUGGUUUGAUACACUUUUUCGAAGAGAUUCAUUUUCACUCAGAAACUAUAUCUUUGUUGCUUUGCGGAAUGCAUUUCAAACAAGUAUUGUUCUUACCAAAUAAAUAACAUUUCAUGAAAUCACAAAAUAUGCCUUAAACAGUGUAACGGUUUUAAAGCAUUUUAGUUAGCUAUUUGGCAAAUCAACAGAUGUAGAGUAUCACUGAGCAUGCAUAAUUUAUCUCCUGACAAUAGUGACUGUACUUUUAAGAGCAUAUAACACUGUCU
ensembl:lncRNA